rnacentral:rRNA from 1 species
CCUACGGGUCGCACCAGUAGGGAAUCUUCGGCAAUGGACGAAAGUCUGACCGAGCAACGCCGCGUGAGUGAAGAAGGUUUUCGGAUCGUAAAACUCUGUUGUUAGAGAAGAACAAGUAGGAGAGUAACUGCUCUUACCUUGACGGUAUCUAACCAGAAAGCCACGGCUAACUACGUGCCAGCAGCCGCGGUAAUACGUAGGUGGCAAGCGUUGUCCGGAUUUAUUGGGCGUAAAGCGAGCGCAGGCGGUUUCUUAAGUCUGAUGUGAAAGCCCCCGGCUCAACCGGGGAGGGUCAUUGGAAACUGGGAGACUUGAGUGCAGAAGAGGAGAGUGGAAUUCCAUGUGUAGCGGUGAAAUGCGUAGAUAUAUGGAGGAACACCAGUGGCGAAGGCGGCUCUCUGGUCUGUAACUGACGCUGAGGCUCGAAAGCGUGGGGAGCAAACAGGAUUAGAUACCCGGGUAGUC